AAGAUAUGCAUGGUCGUGCAUUGUCUUGGGGAUUGACUUCGAGAAGCUGAAUUGCGUAGCAGUUUCUAAAAGAACUUAAAGCCCCGCACUCGAGGCUAACCAAAUUACUAGGCAUAGUAACGAACCUGUAGUAUCUGGCCGGAUAGGCCACUCUGCUAAAUAGCGCCUUCCAAUGUUGCUGUCGGAUUAGGUUUCAAAGUGGAAUAGCUCUACUGUCUACCCACGAAAAUGGGAGCGUGUUGUUUGGGGGAGGAACCUGUCCAUACCGUUGCUGAUCAUUGUCUGCCAUUUUGGCCUGGAUCAGGAUAGUCAGUGGCUUAGAGCUACGACCUGCCCGACCCAUAAACCUUGUCUUCUUCUUUAGUUUUUCUAUUGUUGUUCCGUUUUUGUGUGUUUGACAGACGUAGGUGGAAUGGCUCUGCUGUACUGUGGUUCUGGACAAUUUGGUGGUCCGCGAUCCAGGUUUUUUUUGUGUUUUUGCGACCUUCAGUAUAAGUAGAGGGCCAUCGGUUUGUCAGGGUUUCGGAUUGCUCGGAUAUCCGUCAGUGGUUUAGAACUACCGAACGGUUCCAGUUCUUUCGAUGACUCAUUCUACUGAUCGUUGAUUGGUAAUAAUAUCACCAGAGUCAGUGGAGGACGCAGGGGGACAUUGGACGAAUGGUACAUGGUUUCCGAAUUUUGUGGAUACAGAGUAGAUAUAUCGAUCGUUAAAAGUUAAUAAUCUAGUGUAGAAAAGAAAAACUAUAUAAAAGUAAAAUUAGGAUAGGAUGUCAUUAGAUUGGAUUUUUGCCGAAAUUGAUCAAAACGACCAUUCCGAUAUUAUCUUUUGUAUUUGCGUAAGACAGGUAGAAUAUCGGACACAGCUUUUAAGAACAAGUUGUAACCACGUAUUUCAGUUAGUUUGUUUUAAUACGAGAAGAAGUGAAAAGACUGUGUGCGCGGCGUGCAACAAACCCCUACAAUCAUCCGCCGCUAGCUUAGCGGAGGAAUUAGCAUUAGCGCAGGCGUGCGCCUCGAACGUAGAGUCUUCUCAGCUUCUAGUGAGAACCAGAUCACAGCGUGUGACAGCAGUUGAUGCGAAUACUGAAAAUUUACCGGCCGUUGGUCCAACUGAAGUCCGUGUACCAAUCAUGCCAGUUUCGAGUGGUGAACUAGUGAAUGAAGCAAGCCCAGGCUUCGCUCAAAUGGCACAGGCGUUGACGGACGCUAUAGGUCAAAUCGGGUUGUUGUCAAAGCCAUGGAAAUAGGAAAUAGAAUAAUGUCUCGGUAACCCCAUGGGUAUCCCAACAGACAGCGGGACUAUGACCAGAUAGGAUUGGACAAAUAAUCGCAGGAUGGAAGGUGCUGUUUUCCGGAAAUUCGUCCAUGUCGGUGGAAGAUUUCAUAUAUCGGAUAGAAGCGCUAACCAAACAGACCUUAGAGGGCAAUCUCGAUCUAGUGGUCAGAAACGCAGAAGCCGCACGAACUAUUUGAUACAUUUUACGUAGCCAUUGUAACCUUAUCCGACAAUCUCGUCCACCCCAUGUCAGAAAUAUCGCUGUUGGAAGUGCUAAAGUCGAAUCUCUUUUCCGAUAUUCAACAUGAAAUUUUAUACAUUUCCAUUCUGUAGGUAGCACAAUUGCGCAAAAUAGUGCGUACUCACGAGCGCUUUUUGCAAACAGUGGCUAAGCCUAUGGGCAGCGCUGAGCCGAAGCGUAUUCCUAUACGACGACAGGUGCAUGAAAUUGUGGUACAGACAGACAAGGAAGGCGAUGAGGUCGAUGAAACAGAACAGCUAGAUAUCGCUGCAGUAACCCUUUCCUGUUGGAACUUGUGAUGGACCUAUUUCAGGCUAAGGUAAGCUCAGUGACGUCCAGGGGUCAAUCCACAAGAAAUUCGUAGAAAUAGAUGGAACCUUAACGGCGGCGUCGGGGGUGGCCUAUCGUAGAGAGGUGGGUCGGGGCUAGAGUGGGCGUCUCUCGUCGUGUAUACGGAACGGCGUGCGUGGACUCGGGGUGGGGUAGUGUCGGUGCCUCGUCUAGUUCGAAUGAACUUACUCAAUUGGGUGUUACUCUGAUAAUUUGACACUUUAUUAUAAACCUUAGCACUUUAAAUUAACUUAGUUUGAUUGGUCGCCGGUGUUUCCCGUAGGUUCCUGGUACAACGUCUGUACUCCGAACCGAGUUUCUGCGCCAGUUGUUUCUUGGUUCUGGUCGUCGUCUUUUUAUAAGCCCGUAUUGCUGAGUCCGCGGGUUCGAAAGUGCACUUCCGCGUCGGGGUCGGGGCACUUCGUCGUUCUUGGUGACCGUCGGAAACUUCCGCGGUGUCAUCUUUCCGCAGUUGAUGAACCCGGAAGACUGCACUUGGCCUGGAGUGGGGGAAGUCCGUGUGACCUGAUGUCUUUGGUCAGCGUUAUGGAGUCGGCGCGUGUCGAUCGGUGGCUACGUGUAGAGGGGGGGCGUUGGUUGCGGGGUGUGGUGUGAUACGCUCAUUAUAUGUCGGGGGACGGAUUGUAUCGAACCCUUUUAGGUUCGUUACAAACUGUGGUUGUCAGGGGCAUCGGCAUCAAGACUGCGUAGGUGAUCGCACCGUCUUUUGUUACGGCUGUGGCAAACGGGAUACACAUAAAUCGUCGUGCUCUAGGUGCAACGAUCCAAAAAACUCGUCAAGCCAUGCACAAUCGACAGGUGCACGCAAACCAAACAGUUCGAAAGCAACGAACACCAUUUAAUGGACGUUUCGACAGUUCCAUUACUCCCGGACUUACAAAAACUCCCAGACAUUCCUUCACACACUUGUAUUUUAACCCCAAGUAGGGAAAGAAUUCAACUAACGACUCGAUCUCGAAAGCGAUUGCUCCAAUAUCGGCAAACUGUCAAAAACGAGUGCUCUAACGUAUAGGCGUCAGUCGUUAAUACGUAUAAGUACUGGCGACCCUAUGCGGAAGUCACCGUACUGGGAAGGACGCUCAGUGGACUUAUGAAUACCAGUGCAUCCAUAAGUUGCAUAGGUGGGAAGUUUGCGGCCGACCUGUUUCAGAAUCCGAACCAGAUCAAGCCUGUGAGAGCAGCAGUAAGUACGGCGGAUGGGCAGAGCCAGCCAAUAAUUGGCAAGGUCACCACCGAAGUGGGUUUUCAAGGCCAGAAGAAAGUAUUGAAAUUGUUUGUAGUCCCAUCCUGGGCGCAAGACCUAUAUCUAGGCAUAGACUUUUGGUCUCGUUUUAAUUUGUUACCUGCUUUUCUAGCCCAUAAAUCUUCCAGUCCAGAGUUAUCAGGUUUAGCAUUCGAUGGUACGUUACAUGUGUGUUUGUCAAAGCAGCAGCAAGCUCAGUUAGCAGAGACGGUCAACUUGUUUCCAUCCUUUGCGAAUCAAGGUCUGGUUGUCGCACAAAAUUGAAGUGGGCAACGCUAGGGCAAUAAAACAACGACAUUAUGCCGAGUCUCCAGUCGUAGAAAGGCUGAUGUACGUAGAGGUAGACCGAAUGUUAGCUCUUGGAGUUAUCGAAGAAUCAGAUCGCGCAUGGUCGUCACCCGUGGUCCUCGUUCGUAAACCUGGAAAGGUGCGAUUAUGCAUCGACAGUCGGAAACUUAACGAAGUCACUGUUAAGAACGCUUAUCCCAUGCCAUUGAUCGAUGGCAUUCUCAGUCGGCUUCCUCGAGCUGAGUUCAUCUCAAGCAUCGAUUUGAAGGACGCCUAUUGGGAAAUUUCGCUGGAAGUAAGCGCUCGUGAAAAAACGGCGUUUACCAUCCCAGGGCGCCCGUUGUAUCAGUACACGGUCCUGCCCUUUGGGUUGUGUAAUGCACCCCAAACGAUGUCCAAGUUGAUGGAUAAAGUGAAACCGCCAUCUCUACGAAAUGAGAUAUUUAUUUACCUAGACGACUUGUUGGUGAUAUCUGAGUCACUUGAGCAGCAUAUUCAAGUUCUCAAUGUCCUGUCCGCCCGAUUACGCGAAGCAGGUCUGACCAUUAACGUGGAGAAGUCCAAAUUUUGCCUAAAGGAGGUCAAAUACCUAGGCCAUGUUAUAGGCAACAUAACGAUUUAAGAGUUUCCGGUCCCCCGAUCCGUAAAACAAGUCCGCAGGUUCUUGGGUCUCACUGGUUGGUACGACAAAUUCAUAAAAAAUUAUGAGGGUAUCGCUGCGCCUAUCUAAGAUACACUUAAGAGCAAGCGAAAAUUUGAAUGGACCGAUGAAGCACAGAACGCGUUCGAUUACUUAAAAUCACAGAUGUGUAACACUCCUGUGUUGCGCAGUCCCGAUUUUACCAUUUCCUUUUCAAUAUAUUGUGAUGCGAGUCACACAGGAGUGGGUGGUGUCCUGAUGCAAUCAGAUGAAGAUGGCAUCCUCUGAAACUGCAGGGCUUCACCUUCAAGAUUUUUCAUAGAAAGGGUAGUCAGAACAUCGUUCCGGAUGUCUUAUCACGAGUGCAUACCGAAGCCUUAUCGUUUAUUGGCAUUGAUAGCCUAGUAGACGUUCAAUCUAAAGCGUUUAAAUCAACCAACUAUCAGGAACUCCUUGCGAAAAUUCAAGCUAAUCCAGAUCGUUUACCUGAUGUAAAAGUAAUGGAUAUCCUUCUUUAUCGCCACUUCUUUAUGAACACGCCACUGGUGAACAAAUUAGUGACGACAUGUGCUGAAAACUGUGGGUUCCCAGAGAACGCCACGAGGCCACGAACAUCCCUUAGCUUCUCACAGUGGGAUCAAUAAGACGCUAGAACGAGUUCGACGCUUCUAUUAUUGGCCAAAUUUAGUGGGCGAUGUAAAAGCUUUUAUAAACAACUGCGAAGUGUGCAAAUGUUGUAAGCACCCCAAUCGUCCGCUAGGUCCGCCAAUGGGCAAAGCAAGAGAGACCUUUCGUCUAUUUCAAAAACUUUACGUCGAUUUUCUAGGUACGUACCCCCGAAGUCGAAUAUAGGCAUUUUUGUAGUGCUCGAUAAUUUUUCUAAAUUUCCUUUCCUAAAAAUGGUAAAGAAAUUUACGGCGGAUGCUGUAACUCGGUUCAUGGAGGAAGUCCUGUUUCAUUGCUUUGGAGUCCCGGAAGUGAUAGUGUCAGAUAACGGUGUUCAAUUCAAGUCACACAAUUUCAAUGAUCUGUUAGCGAAAUACCAAAUUCGACAUUCGUAUGCCCCCCAAACCAAUGCCUCAGAGUGGGUAAAUCGCUCGGUACUCGCUGCUAUCAAAGCAAAAUAGCUUCAUUACUUGUGCGUUACGGUCCAGUGUGCAUGCAGCCGUCAAAAGUUGCCCAUAUCGUGUUGCUUUUGGCCAAAACAUGAUUACUGGCGGUUCCACUUAUCAACUCCCACGAAGCAUCAGUAUGUUGGAGGACCGAACUGUAGUCUUUGAUCGCGACGAUUCCUUCGAGCUAAUUGGCAAGACCGCUGCAGAAACACUGAAACAGCAACAUGUUCGAAAGGAAAGAAGAAGUUUAUAGACGAAAUUUUGACCAGAGUAGUUUUGUGAAAGGCUUUAAUGCGAAACUGGCACCUACGUUUCGGAAAGCCCGCAUAAAGAAACAACUCGGGAUCAGCAACUACGACCUGGAAGAUUUCCAGGUGCGCUUUAUUGGUAAAUAUCACGCAAAAGGUAUUAUGCAAUAAAUCGUAUCCAGCACUGCAAGUGUCGAUCACGCAUUGGUUAGCAAGACCCUAAAGUGUGAUUUCAGAGGGGGGGUGUAAUAUUCGACGCUUGUCGUGACUUUUAUUUGAAAUUUCAACGGCUAACUCCCAAAAUUACAGCCUAAAACUAGGCAGUAAAAAUUCGAGUUGCAGCUCUUGUGAGCUUUAACCAUACAGAGAUUAUCAAUAGCCGUGCACUAUAUUUUAUUAAAUAUUGCUGUGGCUGGAUUCUGUAUAACAGAAGAAGACCAUAGAAAGUGUGGGAAAAACGUGGGUUGCUGUACCUAGUAGUCCCAGCCUCUUUCUUUUUCUCCUCGUGACCGUCAGAGUGACCGGCAGUGGAAAAAGAAGUCUUGUAGAGCUGACCCAGUUCUCUAAAACAAGGUCUAGCCAAAGUCAAAGCCUAGUGCAAAACAGUGGUGCAAUUCUGUUGAGGAUUAGCACCACUAGUAUCUACGUAUUGAAACGCUGGUCUAGAAGUUACUGAUUGGUUAUUACCGGAGCCACGUCCCCGUACCACCGGUUAAAACCCACCGUUCGACAUUCGGAUGAGGCGGUAGCCGAAGGCAUGGACUUGCUUCUCAAGUAAACCCGAUCGGUGUGCUCUGCAAGCGUCGCGUAGACCCGUUCGACCCAUGGGGAUGAUCUGACUGACUCUUCAAAUACACCAGUCGCCCCACGAGCAAUCCAAAGUGUGAGUGUACCUAACCUCACACCGCAGAUGGACCGCGGUCAUGGACCCCUGGCAUCGGAAGCACCUAAUGUUACCUGCGCCCGGUUCAAUCGUGUGACACCUUCAGACCUCGAGUAGGAACUCGGUCUCCAGCCGGAAAGCAUCGGAUUUUGUUCUAUUUUCUAUCUUUCUUUCGAAAUUAGACCCGAUAUGCGAAACCCUGUUUUUUUAUCCGCUUUCUGUUUAACAAUGUUCUUUUGAUACGGCAAAAAUGUGCAAAAGCCAAUGAAAUCCGGUUUAAACAAAAAGGGAAUUCCUGUCCAUGGGCUAAGUCAAACUGGACAAAAAUGAGUAGUGUAAUAAUACCGAUUAUUUUUACAGUUUUUGAUUUUGGUCGCAUAUACUCAUCCCAAUCACCUCAUCCAACACACAACGAAAGAUCUUUCUACGUGGGAGUCAAAGUUAUUAAUCGUCUCGUAAGUGAUUAUCAUAAAAAA